rnacentral:tRNA from 7 species
GCCUAUCUAGCCCAGUUGGUAGAGCACAAGACUUCUAACCUUGGGGUCUUGGGUUCAAGCCCCAUAGUUUACA